GAGUCCCACAUCGGCAAGAGUCAGAGUAAUAAGGUGAUAGAGUGCUAUAAAUCAAACGAGACGGUUCACCAUCAACAUACUUACCUGGACGGGGUCUAUGGCCGAUCAAGAAGAGCCAUGGCCUAGGACAGUGACCUCCAUUGCACUUGGGAGGGGCACUGCCCUAAGAUCUGCCCAAGUGGCAGAGUCUACGUCAUAAUUUGUGGUAGAGGGGGUUCGCGUUCGCGCGACCCCUGCCCCAAUUCAGCUCUCAAAGUUUUAUCUGCGUUGUUGAUUUUUUACGUAAGAUUUAUUCUGCUUGUUUUACUUUGCCUUGGCUUGUAGGUCUGUAAUUAUCAUCAGGUAUAUCAAUAGCGGCAAUCUUAAAUUGAGGUGAAAAUGUGAAAUGAAGGAUAUUGUGGUUAAUUUGAGGUUCGAUUUUGGUUUUAAGGUCUGUGUCAAGGAUGUUUCUGUAUGCAUGUCACAUGUUUGACAAAUGGUUUGACAGAGACAUGUAGUGACAUGUUUAAUUUUAGGCACUCGAACGUUAUCAUGACUGAACUCUUCAAUCAUGGCUCCCUUAAUUCAGUUUCUGUUCUCAAUUUGGGUGCUGUCUGAUUUUGAUUUUUAUGAUGCAAUUACCCAUGUGUUGUUGCAAGUGGGUGGUGUUGGGAUGACUCAAUUUGAUACUGAUGAAGGCUUUGAUAUUUAAUAUUCAUGAUAGAUUCAACAGACUACUUCUGUGCUGUAAUGUUGUCCGGUGCGGCUGGAGUAAACCUGUUGCUUCAUUUUGUGCUGUCUUUACCCUUUUGCGGAAGAAGUUUUCCAAGGGCACUGUCAGCUUCUUCACUUUUCAUGAGCUCUUCUGCAAUCGCUGUUGGGGUCAACUGUCAAUAACAAAUAAGAAACAGUUUAUGAAGAGGAAAAAACGGGUAUGUCUACUAAUAUUUAUGUUCUUCCACCAAAUUAUGCACUUGUACUCUGUUCUUGUUAGGUAGGGAUUAUUAGUUUUUCAGAAGUGGGAAUUUAGAGGAAGAAGAAAAACAUCAUUAUUGCAAUAAUAUAAUAAAAAUUUAGGGCUUCAUGAAUGUGAAUCCUUAUAAACUCACCUGGCUGUCAUUUAGAUUAUGCUCUUCAGCUUGUUGGCCCUGCAGUUCACUGCUGCAGUCAAUAUCUUCAAUCUCAAGUAUUGAUUGGUUCCUGUUCUUGAGUUGCAAUGGAGACUGCUGAGUCUAAGUUGCAGAUGUGAAAUUUCAAGUCGUAGUUGGCCAUGGCUGCAAUCAAGCUCGACUUUCCAGUGACUGGAGGUAGCACAAAUAUCCUCAUUUCCAUGCCCUUCCAACUCUUUUAUAGUACUUCUUUCUUUUGACAAAUUGAUCUAAGUCAUUUACCAAGUCCUGCUUGAGCUUUGAAUCCAUUGCUGGUGUUUCAAAAGUUGAUGAAUGGUUGAGGUUGGUUGAUUCCCAUGACCCACAGUAUGAAUAGAGCUUCAACACCUUGUUUUCUUCUAUGAAGGAUUCUGAUCUCUCUACCACAUAUGGCAAGUUGGAGCUCGGUAUCUUUUUCAUGUUUUUCUUAGGGAAACUAAGCUCUAUUGAUCUUGGUUCAUAAUCUAUGCCUUCAUUGGACUGCUUCUUGGUAUAAACCAUGUCCCAUUUGACCUGAAUUCCUUCAAAUAGGUCAAUAGCCUUUUCACCUUCACCAAUGGUGAUUGAAAGGUUCUUACCUUAUGGAGCUUUCGAUCUGCAGUUACUCAACUAUUGACUGGACAGCUUUGGUUCAUAAGGGUGUCUAACCAGAUGUGCAGUAUACAUACACAGCUUUGACCACAACUGGAAGAGUCUUCGCCUUCUUAGCACCUUGGGUGAUGUAGCAUUUGUUGAUGCUGGUCACAAUGUGGUGUUGGAGAUCCCAAGCAACAAUUCCUUCCACCCCUCAGAAGCCUUUGAAGGGACCCAUGUGGAAAGGGGUGAUUUUUGCUUAUGUUGUUGUUGCCUUGUGCUACUUCCCUGUUGCUCUGAUUGGAUACUGAAUGUUUGGGUACAGCGUUGCUGAUAAUAUCCUCAUCACACUGGAGAAACCAUGUUGGCUAAUAGUAGCAGCCAACAUGUUUGUUACCGUCCAUGUUAUUGGAAGCUACCACGUGCAAUUGAAAAUUCAACUUCUGCAAAUACUAUGUUUGAUUUCACUUGAUCUUCCAUUUCCUCGUUAAGUUUGCAGAAACUGCAGAUAUAUGCAACGCCAGUGUUUGACAUGUUGGAAACAUUGUUGGUGAAGAAACUGAAUUUCAGGCCAUGUUUCAGGCUUCGUCUUAUUACCCACACUCUAUAUGUUGGUGAAUGGUUGAUGCUCUUCUUUCUUUGGACGAGUUAUGACAAAGCUUCAUCAGCCUAUUUGCACGUUCUUACAUAUCUUCGUUGACUGCAGCUUUUAGUAUGGAUUCAUGAACUAAAAAUAUGUGGUUGAGAACAGAGAUUACAAUUCAUAUUCAUAGGUGGUUUUAAAUAUAACAUAAAUAAGAAGCAAAAUAUUACUUAGGAAAAUAGAAUGAGAUGGAUUGUUGGAUGUAAGGGAUUGUGACUUUGUUGGCCUUUUGGUGUUGUUUCUCACAGGCUAGUUUCUAUUUAGUGACUCAGUACAUUUGCGCAAUCGAUUCAUGUUGAUAUAAUCUUAUUUUAAGUUCAUCAACA